rnacentral:lncRNA from 1 species
GCUCUAUCUUUAAUACCAAAAAAGUUAUGCAAAAUUUUCGAUCUAAAAAAGUACAUGUUAAUUGUAAAAAACCGAAAUUUCGAUUUUUCUCAAAAACUAUAAUUUUUUCAAUUUUAAUAAUUAUGUGCAAGGUGCCUCUUUGCCAGGAGUGCUUGGCAGUUUUUAAAUGAAAGCUCUAUCUUUAAUAACAAAAAAGUUAUGCAAAAUUAUCGAUCUAAAAAAGUACAUGUUAAUUGUAAAAAACCGAAAUUUCGAUUUUUUUCAAAAACUACAAUUUUUUUAGUUUUUGAUUAUUACGUACAAGGUGCCCCUUUGCAAGGAGUACUUGACAGUUUUUAAAUGAAAGCUCUAUCUUUAAUAACAAAAAAGUUAUGCAAAAUUUUCGAUCUAAAAAAGUACAUGUUAAUUGUAAAAAACCGAAAUUUCGAUUUUUCUCAAAAACUAUAAUUUUUUAAAUUUUGAUAAUUAUGUGCAAGGUGCCCCUUCGCUAGGAGUAGUUGACUGUUUUUAAACGAAAGCUCUAUCUUUAUUAACAAAAAAGUUAUGCAAAAUUUUCGAUCUAAAAAAGUACAUGUUAAUUGUAAAAAACCGAAAUUUCGAUUUUUUUCAAAAACUACAAUUUUUUUAGUUUUUGAUUAUUACGUACAAGGUGCCCCUUUGCAAGGAGUACUUGACAGUUU